rnacentral:rRNA from 1 species
UACGUAGGGUGCAAGCGUUGUCCGGAAUUAUUGGGCGUAAAGAGCUCGUAGGCGGUCUGUCGCGUCUGCUGUGAAAACUCGGGGCUUAACCCCGGGCCUGCAGUGGGUACGGGCAGACUAGAGUGCGGUAGGGGAGACUGGAAUUCCUGGUGUAGCGGUGAAAUGCGCAGAUAUCAGGAGGAACACCGGUGGCGAAGGCGGGUCUCUGGGCCGUAACUGACGCUGAGGAGCGAAAGCGUGGGGAGCGAACAGGAUUAGA